rfam:Gossypium arboreum cultivar AKA8401 contig_3645_1, whole genome shotgun sequence.
AAUCCAUGGUGAUGGCAUCUUCUCAAAAGGUCCUUCUAUCUCCCCCAUGCAUCAUAGAGUGUGUCUAAAUCCAUAUGUACAAAAGAAGAGAUAUCAUUACGUAAUU